AUUGAACGCUGGCGGCAGGCCUAACACAUGCAAGUCGAACGGUAACAGGAAGAAGCUUGCUUCUUUGCUGACGAGUGGCGGACGGGUGUGUAAUGUCUGGGAAACUGCCUGAUGGAGGGGGUUAACUCCUGGAAACGGUAGCUAUAACCGCAUAUCGUCGCAAGACCAAAGAGCGGGACCUUCGGGCCUCUUGCCAUCGGAUGUGCCCAGAUGGGAUUAGCUAGUAGGUGGGGUAACGGCUCACCUAGGCGACGAUCCCUAGCUGGUCUGAGAGGAUGACCAGCCACACUGGAACUGAGACACGGUCCAGACUCCUACGGGAGGCAGCAGUGGGGAAUAUUGCACAAUGGGCGCAAGCCUGAUGCAGCCAUGCCGCGUGUAUGAAGAAGGCCUUCGGGUUGUAAAGUACUUUCAGCGGGGAGGAAGGGAGUAAAGUUAAUACCUUUGCUCAUUGACGUUACCCGCAGAAGAAGCACCGGCUAACUCCGUG
rnacentral:rRNA from 1 species